CUGGCUUGAGUAGAUCGGUCCAUUACAAUCCCUACAUUAAGGAAUUACCUGUACCCAACCCAUUUACCAAAAUUGCCAUUGACCAAAUUUCAUAAUAUAAAAAAGAAGAAAAAAAAAAUCUCAAAUUUAUCCCUCAUUUGAUCGUUCGAAAAGAUAGAAAAGAAUAGGCAAAAUCGAACUGACUAAAACCAACCUUCCCAAGUUAGAUUUUGAAGUAAAACUUCAACUUCAUUUUCUUCUCUAAAAUUCAAAGUUAGAUUCUAUUUUAGUAGCUUAUUUUCUUUAUUUUGUCUGGGAAGUUUAAAACUUUUUUAUUUUCUAUUUCUAAUGUUGAUGGGUCAUAUUAUUUAUGCUCCAAAAAUUCAUGUAUUAAGGUGUAAAUUUUCGUAAAUUGAAGAAAAUUUUGAAAAAAUGGAUGAAUUAGGGAUUCAUCGCACCUAUCAUGAUGGCAUCGAUACGAUGCUUGCUUCACCGACUCUACGGGUACCGACCUUUACGCAAGUAUAUGAAGACCCACUUCACGAAAAUGUCAAUGUCGGUGAUGCAGAUGCCUCAGUAAUGCAAGUAAGAAAAUGUGGCCCUUUCUUUUUUCUUUUUUUUUUAAAUGAAAUGUAGUAUAUAAUUGUGCGAUGAAAUGAAUUUCUUUCUUGCUUAUUGGUAGUAUACAGUCGCUUAUUCUGAUUUUUGGAAACUACGCAUUGUUUUAUAUAUGAGUUAGUAAGAUAUUAAUAAUUGUAAGUUAUUGAAGGAUGGAGUACACUAUUAACACUAGAUUGAGAAAACAUCCCAAGGAAAUUACAUCAAAUUGUAACUAUUUGAGCUUUAAGAAGGUGCUCUCGCACUCGAUGAUGAUUACUUCUACUACACCAGGAAUGCCUUUGGAAGCUCUAUCAAAUGAGGCACAUGCAAUUCUCAAGGCAUCUCAUCAACAACCUCUUACUUUGAUUGCUUAAGUCUAUCAAAGGUGAUAUUGCAUUUUGGGUUAGAGGGGUAGCCCAAUUUUCGAUUUUUGAGUUUACCCUUAUUAUAGGAUUAAACUCAGGAAGUGAUGAGGCUAUGCGGCUCAAUAUUCUACAGAAUAAAAACUAUUAAAUGAAUAUUUUGGAAGAAGGUCUAUAGUUACAUCUGCACAAUUGGAGAUUGCAUUUGGAGAUUGCAUUCAAGAGUUGCUCAAAUAUAAAAGAUAAAUUUAGGCUAGGAUUAGUGUUUAUACUGGAGAAUGUGCCAAUGUGCAAAUACCAUAAGACAUUGAUUGAUCUUUUCUCAUUGUCUAUUGAUUGAUCUUUUCUCGUUGUUUGUUGUUAAUAUAGCGAUGCAUUCAACAACUAUCCAUAAGGUCGAAGAUGUUUUCAUGGAUAUGUUAGGAAGGGUAUUCAAUGCCUAAGUCAUGGAAAGAUGAGUGCAAAUAUAAUGGAUAUGACCUUCUAUUGGCCAUCCAGGUAAAUGUUAAAUCUUAUGAUUUUAAUAUAUUAUUAAAUUCUAAUAGUUGUGCGUGUUGUAAAUAUGGGCGUAGGAGUCUAUUUUCGCUUUGAUGGCAGGUCGGCCCAAAGUAAGUACACGAGGUGUCUUCGGAUAAAUCGUUGUUAAGCACUAGAUAUCACGAGUGCCAAAGAUGAACCUGCUAUACUUAGCAAUUCUCGAGUGAGUGUUAUAUUUGUAUUUUAUAUUUGUUUAUCGACUCGAUAAAUGACCAUUAACUCGUUGAAAUAUCAAUACUUCAGCUUGAAGUCCAUAGUGAGUUGACGGUAUUAAUAGAGAAGUGGAUCAAAGUUACAUGUGGGACUCUUCUAUUCAACCUAGUCAAGAUGAUCUAUUAUCUAAUUAUGUUCAGAUGGAGGAAAGUUGUGUAGAUUUAUGUUUUCUAUUAUUACAUGUGAUUUAAUUAUAAUUUAUGUUUUAUGUUGUCAUAAGUGAUUUAAAUGUAUUAAUUGUCAAUCUUCUUAUUUAUGUAGGAGCGCUAUCCAUUUGAAUAGUGAGCUUUGUCUCCUUGCAUAUCUUCUUUAGCCAUGAGAUAUCCUACACGACAUCAAUUUCCUUUUUCUCAUCAAGAUCCUUCCCUAGUCAAUCAUCUACACCUAAUCGAUCUCCAUCAUCGAGUCGUGAGCAUGCACGGCAUUGAUUUUCUUCAGAUGAUUUGACUGAGCUUUUGAUUAGACACCUGACUAUAGUUAUAUGAGAUAAGAUAGGAGCAUAACGAUAUGAGCUAAGAUUUCUAUAAUCAGAUCUAGGAGUAAAGAUAAGAAGGUGGACUUUAUAAUUGAGUUGGAAUACCCCACCGUCAUACCAAUAAGGAGAGUUCAGGGAGGACAAUAGUGGUAAUGUAGGAGAUGGUGAGAUAAGGGGGUGACAAAAUAGGAUGACAAGGGAUGUGACGAAAGUAGUGAUAGGGAUGACAAAGGAUGUCACGGAGGAUGUGAUGGUAACGAUGGAGCAAGAGACAGGAGGAGUGACGAUCGAGACAAUGGAGGAUGUGAUUGUUGUACUGAAUGGCGUGGUCGAGGUGAUGAAGGGUAAUAAGUGUAUUGUAGU
rnacentral:lncRNA from 1 species